rnacentral:rRNA from 1 species
AACUGUGUGCGGUGGAUCACUUGGCUCGUGCGUCGAUGAAGAGAAUCCCGCGGCCA